rnacentral:sRNA from 1 species
AUUGAUUACACUAGCUCCCCUAAUACGGGCUUGAAUUCUGUUUGGAUGUAAAUAAAACUGGAAACACGGUGCUCCGUGCAUACAGAAGAAAAUGGAUGUCACGAUGAACGUGCUAUCCGCAAAUCUGAACUAUCCGCCAUUUUUAUACUACGGAAAGCUGUUCGUUAUACGAAUCUGGGUCAGCUUUGUUUUGGAUGCAGCGUGUAUAUUUCUUCUCAUGAAGCGGAAGUGCUUACAACUGGGAACUAACUUCCUGAUAUAUGUGACGGUGAUAACUGCCGUGUGGCUCCUAAUUACAGUUUUAGCGGUUCGGGGAAGUGAUUUAUAUUCCGUUGCUAACGAACUGAUGAUCGGGUUUAAGUUCGUUUGUGCAGCCCAAGCUGUGGGUCUAUUGUAUGUUUCGUCAAAGAAAGACUUUGGAUAUGACUUUACGACGGCUGUUCAAUUAUGUGUAUGUUUUGAUGCUAUUCUGUGUUCAUUACAACUUAUCAAACUUAUUGUAAGUGAUUUAAGUUUCAGAAUUGAAGAACGGCAUUGACUUUUCUUUGGACACUGUCUCGCAACGGGUAAAUGCAUAUAUAGUGAUGUAUAAAAUACAUGUAUUUAUACACCUAAUUAUUAUGUGCUUUAUUUAUAUACGCACACUGCUGUACUUUGUAUGAUUGAUAAAUUCCCAUGGUGAAAAUAUUUUAAAU